UAGGGAAUUUUCCGCAAUGGGCGAAAGCCUGACGGAGCAAUGCCGCGUGGAGGUGGAAGGCCUACGGGUCGUCAACUUCUUUUCUCGGAGAAGAAACAAUGACGGUAUCUGAGGAAUAAGCAUCGGCUAACUCUGUGACAG
rnacentral:rRNA from 1 species